GGAAGAGAUCAAGGAAGAACUCGGAUGGUGGUUGGACAGCAUGGAAGCUUGGAACGGCCGAGCCAUCUUCGGGAAUACACCAGACAUAGUUCUGGAAUCAGACGCCAGCCUGUGGGGCUGGGGUGCCACAAGCGAGGGCAGAUCGACAGGAGGCACUUGGACUUCCCAAGAAACCAACCUUCACAUAAACUGCCUAGAACUCCUAGCGGGGUCGUUUGCGAUCCGCAGCUUAGCGAGAGACCGGAC